rnacentral:rRNA from 1 species
AUUGAACGCUGGCGGCAGGCCUAACACAUGCAAGUCGAACGGUAACAGGAAGAAGCUUGCUUCUUUGCUGACGAGUGGCGGACGGGUGAGUAAUGUCUGGGAAACUGCCUGAUGGAGGGGGAUAACUACUGGAAACGGUAGCUAAUACCGCAUAACGUCGCAAGACCAAAGAGGGGGACCUUCGGGCCUCUUGCCAUCGGAUGUGCCCAGAUGGGAUUAGCUAGUAGGUGGGGUAACGGCUCACCUAGGCGACGAUCCCUAGCUGGUCUGAGAGGAUGACCAGCCACACUGGAACUGAGACACGGUCCAGACUCCUACGGGAGGCAGCAGUGGGGACUAUUGCACAAUGGGCGCAAGCCUGAUGCAGCCAUGCCGCGUGUAUGAAGAAGGCCUUCGGGUUGUAAAGUACUUUCAGCGGGGAGGAAGGGAGUAAAGUUAAUACCUUGGCUCAUUGACGUUACCCGCAGAAGAAGCACCGGCUAACUCCGUG